AUUGAACGUUGGCGGCAGGCCUAACACAUGCAAGUCGAGCGGAUGACGGGAGCUUGCUCCUUGAUUCAGCGGCGGACGGGUGAGUAAUGCCUAGGAAUCUGCCUGGUAGUGGGGGACAACGUUUCGAAAGGAACGCUAAUACCGCAUACGUCCUACGGGAGAAAGCAGGGGACCUUCGGGCCUUGCGCUAUCAGAUGAGCCUAGGUCGGAUUAGCUAGUUGGUGGGGUAAUGGCUCACCAAGGCGACGAUCCGUAACUGGUCUGAGAGGAUGAUCAGUCACACUGGAACUGAGACACGGUCCAGACUCCUACGGGAGGCAGCAGUGGGGAAUAUUGGACAAUGGGCGAAAGCCUGAUCCAGCCAUGCCGCGUGUGUGAAGAAGGUCUUCGGAUUGUAAAGCACUUUAAGUUGGGAGGAAGGGCAGUAAGUUAAUACCUUGCUGUUUUGACGUUACCGACAGAAUAAGCACCGGCUAACUCUGUGCCAGCAGCCGCGGUAAUACAGAGGGUGCAAGCGUUAAUCGGAAUUACUGGGCGUAAAGCGCGCGUAGGUGGUUUGUUAAGUUGGAUGUGAAAGCCCCGGGCUCAACCUGGGAACUGCAUCCAAAACUGGCAAGCUAGAGUACGGUAGAGGGUGGUGGAAUUUCCUGUGUAGCGGUGAAAUGCGUAGAUAUAGGAAGGAACACCAGUGGCGAAGGCGACCACCUGGACUGAUACUGAC
rnacentral:rRNA from 1 species